AGUGAACGCUGGCGGUAGGCCUAACACAUGCAAGUCGAACGGCAGCACAGUAAGAGCUUGCUCUUACGGGUGGCGAGUGGCGGACGGGUGAGGAAUACAUCGGAAUCUACUUUUUCGUGGGGGAUAACGUAGGGAAACUUACGCUAAUACCGCAUACGACCUACGGGUGAAAGCAGGGGAUCUUCGCACCUUGCGCGAUUGAAUGAGCCGAUGACGGAUUAGCUAGUUGGCGGGGUAAAGGCCCACCAAGGCGACGAUCCGUAGCUGGUCUGAGAGGAUGAUCGGCCACACUAGAAGGGAGCCACGGUCCAUGCUCCUGCGGGAGGCAACAGUGGGGAAUAUUGGACAGUGGGCGCGAGCCUGACCCAGCCGUACCGCGUGGGUGAAGAAGGCCUUCGGGUUGUGAAGCCCUUUUGUUGGGAAAGAAAAGCAGCAGGUUAAUACCCAGCUGUUCUGACGGUACCCAAUGAAUAAGCACCGGCUAACUUCGUG
rnacentral:rRNA from 1 species